AAACCCAAAAUAAGAAAAGAAUCUCUCCCUAAUAUCAUUAUCUCUCCUCUCUUCUCUCUUCUCUCUUCGGCCGCAGGUCUCCGAUGGCGCCGUUGACUCAGUCUGUCCUCAGCCUCCUCUCCGCCGCUUUCCUCCUUGGCUUCCUCUCUGAUCCGGCCGCUGCUCGUCCCUGCAAAACCCUUUUCAUCUCCUCCUACUCCGUAUCCUUCCACCCCAAUUUCCCCGAUCAAAAUAACCCUAACUCCGCAGGCACCGCCGGAAUUCUCACGAUUUUCACUGAGAUCCGGCAAUUUAACCCCCGUCCGCCGCUCACCUUCGUCGACGCCGUCGAGGAUCAGCACCCGAUCGAGCGUCCGCCGCGAUUUGGCCUCGGUCUAGGGUUCGACUCCGACUCCCUCCGCGACCGCACCAAGGACGUGCUCAGCGUUGUUGUGGCGCUGCUCUUCGGCGUCGGCUGUGGCGCUCUCACCGCCGCAACCAUGUACUUGGGUUGGUCGCUCUUCUCCAACCGCCACCGCUACUCCGACUUCGAUUACGAUGACUUUGAGGAUGAUGACGUUGACAUGAGCCCUAAGAAGGUGGGCUAUGUGAGGAUCCCUCCUCCUGCUGAUGCCUCUACUCCCGUGGCAAAAGAGGCGGUAUGAGGCACAGAAAAAUUAGGGUUUUAAUGCUUAAUGCCUAGUGUUUUGCGUUUCUGAACCAGGUGCUAUUUGCUAUGUUAUUAUGAAUUAUAUUGCUAAAAAUGUGGGUACUUAUAUGGUUUUGUGUUUCUCAAUCACAUCUAUAACUAUGCUUUGUGUAUAUUUAUCAUCUAAUACAUUGAAUGCUUGUUUUAUUUAAUUUUUUUCUUUCGCUUGGGCUUCGAUUAUUUGGAAGGAAAAAUUGUUCUCUGACAUAUGUUCGAUUAAUCUUCUUUUUUUUUUUGUAUGAGAAGCUUUUUGGUUGAAACAAAUGGGGCCUUGGUCUGGUUUCUUUUAUUUAAUUGCAGGUUGUAUACCUUAAGGUUGAUGGUGCGGUGAUUUUGUAGUUUUCCUAAAGUUGAUGAUUGCGUAAUUUUGCCCUUUUGUCGGAGUUUGUUGUAGUAGAUGAUGUUGUGAUUUUGUAGUUUUGCACGAAUGAUCGACUACUUUUUUCCAUUAUCUUUAUGUGUUGUGACCAAAUUUUUAACAUGCUUGAUUUUCAGCAAGUGUUUGUGAAAAUAGCAAGAUUUUGGCCAUAGGCUGUUUCAGGGAAGGGGAUUGCAUUUUCAUUUUAGUUUUCAUUCUUUUGCUUUACUCCCUUUAGCAGGUGAAGUAGUGACCAUGCGUCCUUUUGUUUUCCAUAAUGAGAUUGACUUGUAUUGAGAUAUAGCUAUUGGAUAUAUAUUUUUCGGGCACUUAAUAAUAUUAUGUUCAAUCUAUUGAUGAAAUUUAGUAAUAUAUAUAUAUAUAUAUAUAUACAUAUAUAUCUCAUAUGGAAAAUUGACACGACAUUGUCUUGUCAACACUUAUUGAUGGAACUGUUUUUCACUAAAAAAUUCCCGAGGCUGUACUCAUUUUUCUGGAGCUGCAACCACUCUCCAACUAUCAAAUGCCUCUUUCAGCUUCGAUUUAGAACUUAACUUUCUAAUAAGAGAUUUUUGUUGCAUAGAAACUUAAGGAUGGAUUCCUUAUGUUGCAUGAGCAUUCAAGGCAGAUCUUCAAAUCAACUUGGCUAUCAUUUUUCAAUUAUUUUUUUUAUGCUUUAUUUUACUUUUUAAAGAAAUUAUAUUAAUUUCCUUGUCUUUAUGUGGUAUAAAUGACCAGGAUUAUAAAAGAUUGAUAUAUUUUUAGUAAUGAGGAGCCUACAUUAUAUAUUAACAUAGGCUUCGAAUUGAAUUAAAGGCCUUUCUAGAAUCAGGGGUAGGAUUAUGUAUGGGAUAGUGUUCUUUCUAGGAAGAUUACUGUUCUUUCUAUUUUAGUUUUUUUUUUCUUUGGGGGGUUGGUUUGGUCGAGUAUUCUUCUGGUUUUGUACUUGUUUUCCUUCUUUGCAUCACCUCUAGUAGUCUUGUAUCUUGCAAUAGCAUCCCAAAUUCACAAUUACAUGUUUGGUGAUUUUCAUGUGGCUUUGCAUGUGUGGUUCCUAGUAGGAACAUUAGAAGGAAAGUGGCCAAUCUUUUUGACAGACCUGGUAAUACUGUAAUGAAGAGAAACAAAUAGAAAGGAGUAAAAGGAAAUCAACAAACACCUUGGUGUCAAUGUAACAUAGUAACUUUCCAUGACCAUACAGUAAAUCCGGUAAUCUUUCGGGGGUUUUAGCAUGUCCAUGAACUGUCUUAAAAUUCUAGAGUGGGACUUCCAGUUCAAGAUAAUGGCAAAAGUAACAGAAUGAUGUUAAGUGAAGUACUAACUGACUUGGAACUUCAUUGUCGUGGCUCCCUAAUUAUUAGGGAGCAGGUCUUAUAGUUUUUACAGUGGAGGUUAUUAUGCUUGGGAAAGGUUUCUCUAUCAUCCAAUAGUCAAUAAGGCCUGUUUUCUUAAUAGUUAAAGUGAUGUUGAGGGAGUCCUAGAGGCAUUUGAGCUAAAGAUUGGAGAUCAUGAUCUGUUGUACAAGAUGUUUGGAAGAUGCUCAAAGAACUGAUUCAGAGAUCAGGAUAUUUCAGACCUGUCCAGAAGGCAAUAUGGUUGCAUAUUUGAAGCCAAAUUAGGCACAGCUAGCUUAGGAAUUUUAUUUGGGCUUGCGGCUUUCCAAGUGGGGUCAUUCUGCAUCUUGCCCAUGAUCUUUUAGGCUGGGCGUUUCCCCAUUCUUUUUCUGUUUGUGAUGGGAUCUGUGAAAUGGUAUUUUAUGAAAGAAGAAAAUGCGACAAGCACAUAAUGAAGCUUUGUCUUAAAAAUUCUUUGAAAUUUUUAAGGGAACCUUUGAGGCAUGGAAAUAAUUAGCUGCAGAAGGUUUCUAUGGGAUUUACAGUCACAGAAGAAUGCAUUGAAAGUAUGUUCCAUCACUCAAAUGUUUGUCAUGCUGCUUGUAAUUCUAUUUCAGCCAGGAUUCUAUUGACUAUGCAGUAAAUACAUCAUUAUGCUCCGGUUGUUGGUGCUAGAAUUCCUUAUGGGGUUUGUCCAUUCAAAUUAGAUGUUGAGAUUUUUCCUUAUAAGAGAUAUCACUGUUUUGGCACAUUCAUUAGUUUGAGGUGAUUUUGACCUUUUAAUUAAUUGUAUUUUGGGAGUGCUUCUGAUGUCAAUGCAAUUAGUGGUUUUUGAUUAUCCUGAACUUGAUAAGGAGUUGUUUACCUGUAAUUUUGCUCGAACUGUUGCUUACACCAGUUGUUCAGGGUUAAACCAGCUUUGUUUCAGUAUUUUGCUUCAUUUAGGGCCUAAAUGUAUGCCAUACCAUACAUGGGUACUUUUAGGGUAAUGCUGACAAGGAGUUAACUAAAGGCUUCACUAGUUAUUAGCCUAAUAGAAACCUUUUCCUGUGUUGCUGUUGUUUAUCUACUCUAUUAGAGAUUGGAAUCUUUACAAUCUGUCUGCUCUGUGCUAAGAAUAACUUUCUUAGAGCCAAAUGCAGAUAAAUUGAGUGGAGAGAUCUACACCUGCACUUUCUGUUUUGUUGACUGAUUCGGCCUUUCUAAAUUUCCUUCAUGGUUGAGGCAAUUUGCAAGAUAAUUUCUGAGGUGGUGGUGGGGGCCCCUUGUUCCACAAUUUCCAUGUUUGUUUCCCCCUGAUUCUAAGUUGAAGUUUAGAGUAACUGUGGUUGAGUGGGUUGUAUUUGUCUUGAAAUUCGCAAUCUGAGAUGUAAUCUGGCAAAAUAAAUACUAGAUUUAGGUAGGUGGUGAACUCAUAGCAGCUGCUAAUAAGGACUCUUGCGUUCUUUUCAGUCAACUUUUAUGUGAGGCAUUAUGGAAAACUGUCUUGAGUCUCACUGGACUUCAUUUCCUGUUUGACUAUAAACUAGACAAUUAAUUUUCCACUUGGUGAAUAGAAAAAUAUACAGGGGAAAAAUAAUUUGGAUCUAGUAUUUGCCUCAUUUCCACUGAGAAAGCACUCCUUUGGCUAGCUUUGGGGAUUUGAUGAAUGGACAAUCUAGAGAGUUGCUGUGUUCUUAAAACAUUGGAUUCAAUUUAGAAUGCUGAGAUUUGAGUGAUCUUAUGUGCUGUUGGUGGUGCUUAUGCCAAUGUAAGGGAAAUAUGAUGCAGUGUUAGGAAUAGAAUUGAGAUGUGAAUAUGCAAUAGGAUUAUAUUUUGGGAGUAUGUGUGUGGAGCAAUAUGGCUCUGAUUGUGCUGACUUCGAAUGUAGGAGGUUGUUCAAGGAAAACAGGUUUUUGUUAUGUGUUUGUCAGGGUGAAUUGAAGAGACACAAGACUCUGUUGUCAUUCUUUCCUGUAGGAUUCAGCUGCAUAACCCCUGAUCUUAGUACUAGUACUGUGCUUCUCAUUCUACUCCAGUACACAGAGUUCGAGAUUUAGAUCUGAAUCUGUUGAUGUAUGAUAUGUCAAAAUCUUGAAGCAAUUGUCUUGAAAAGGAUUAGUGAUUAUAUGCGUUGCAUGCUGAAACUUCAAUAAGUAAAUUUAUACUCUGAAGAUCAUAAAGCAAAUGAAGCAAAUAUAUAAAAUAUAGCAAUGAUUCAAUUGUUAUACAGUUUCAAAAGAUCCAUCUAAAUAAUUAAAUCUAUAGAAUAUAGCAAAGUAUCCAUCUUGAAACAGGAAAAAACACAACCCCUUGUGCAAUCAAACUGCACAAUAGUGUUUGAAUGGAAACUAACCAUUCUGAAGCUCAAAUUGAUUGUACUGCCAUGUUUAUAUUGAUUAUUGUGAGCUAUAAUUGAUUAUGUAAGGAUGUUGGUGGCUGAUAAAAAAUUGAAAUGAAGCCUUAGAGUUGAAGGAGAGUUUUGGAAACUUUUACAAAUCUGUUUUGAAUGGGAAAGAAUAUUAAUUUUGUUUUUCUUAUUAUUAGUGGGAAAUCUUUGUUGGAUUUUUUUUUUUUUCUUUUCCUGAAAUUUUCAAUGUCUUUGUAGGGUAACUUCAUCCGAAGAAUCUUUUAUUGCUAUUCUGGAUUUUAAUUGCAGUAUAGGUAGGAUGCCCAAACUCAGACCCAAGUCCCCACUUGUCAGCAUUGUGAUGGACUCCAGCACAAUUAGUAUAGCAGGGGAAGGACAAUGGGAGCCUCUUGGCACCUUGAAUUUGCAUUUGGUCAAGUUUCAGUCAACAAUUUUUGCAGGCUGAUAUUUGACCAUCUGAGCAUGCAUUUGGUUUGUAACACAAGAUAUUGUACUGUUGACCAGCUGAGUAGGUAAUUGGUAAAGAGCACAUCCCUGGUAAUCCCACUGUUUAUUCCUUAUUUUAUGCAAGGCAUUUUCUGUUAGUCCAGGGUCGAGGCUGCUUCUCAUUCCCCUGCUUUUGUUUCCUUGAAAAUGGCUUUGUUCCUAUGGACCAUUCUGCUUUCUUGUAUUAUCAAGUGCAAUCUGCAUUCUUGUAUUAGAAGAAUGAGGACAUUAAGGAACUGAAGCACCACAAUAAGAUGUCAUGUUCCCCUUUAGUUUCUAGAUGUGCCUCAGCUGUUAGUCUCUUUAUGCUAUGCAUAUUCAUAUUGUUCCCACCCUCUUUGGGCCUCUCACUCAGAAAUUUGCUCAUUAUCUGCCAAACUCCUCCAACCCCCAAGAUGAGAAUUUCAGUUUUCUACAUCCUGAAAUCAUAAGGCACUGAGUUAUGCAAACUAGGGGGAAGAGAGCUGUAUAUGGUUAAAUGCUGAAAAGCUGUGCUUGUUUUGGGUAGCAUAACUAGAACUAAAACAAAGCAAAUAGCAUCUUCUUUUCAAUAGCCCCCACUAGUCUUUUCAAGUGUUUACAUACCUACAUUUUGAUUUGCCUUGGCAUUUGAAUGGCAUAACAAAGCUGCUGAUGCUGCCCCUUCAUGACCAUUAACAUAAACCCUUGCGAGCUACACUUGCUAUUCUUUCUGCUAAUUUCUAGUUUCAAAUGCAACAAAAGGUCAAAAUAGGUCUGUAUGAUUUGCUGGAUAUUAGAGAAGCCAUGUAGUUGAUUUGCUCAAUUGUGUCUUUAUCCGUUGAAGAAAUACAGUUUCUAACAAGAUGAAUUAUAUCUUCACGAACUUACAACACUAGAUGAGCCUUAAGAUUUCGAGAACUCCUCUGUUAAGCACUGGAAAUACACUAAUUAAUUGUAUGAACGUAUUUUUUUUUAGAAAUUUGUUAGUUGGGGGGAUCGCAGAUCGAUUAGGAAAAGAUGUUUUCAGCAUUUCUACUGUGCUUUAUUUUUUAAGCUUAUAGAAGUAUUUUAAAGCUACUGGGAUUUUGAACAUAUGAGAGGAGUUUUAGAUUAAAAAUAAAUUAACUAUUUUAACUUAAUAUUUAAAAUUAUUUUUAUUUUAAAUUAUAAUAUUAAGUUUUUUUACCAAUCGCAGUUAAUAUAUUUAAUGACUUAAAUUAAGUCAUUAAACCAUUAAGUUGAUUUACCAAACAAUUCACUAAAUGUCACAAAACCAUACCAAAAACAAGCAUUCCACACUAUGUGUAAUGAGAAAGCAUAAAUUGCCUGAUCAUUAGCUUCCAUACACUCUCAUUGCUGACCUUAAUCACAUUCCAGCAAAGCUAGAACGCAUUCCAUUUUCUAUUGCUACUAGUUUCCCUUUAUUCCUUUUUGUCUUUUCUCUUUCGUUAGAAGUUAUACUUGUUCAUAUGUUCCCUGGAUCACAAAUUUUGUAUGAAAGAAGAAUCAAAGCAUACUACACAGGCAAACAUAGAAGUAAAUAAAUAAAUAUAGACAUACAAGUCCAAGCAUGAGAAGAUAGAGGCAUAAAACACAAGCCAAGCAUAUGCGAAUCUGAAGAUGACAUAAGGCCUAACUCUCAGAAUCAUCCAAAAAUCAGAAGAGGAGGAAGGCCUAAUCCUGCCUCAACAUCAUCAAACAUCUGCAUUGUUGAUUUGUUUGGAAAUAUGUAGAGCAAUACAUCCAUGAGGGCCAAACCUUGAAUCAUUUUCAGCUUUGUUUCUUAAUCACCAUGGCUUAUUGCCAAAAGCAGGGCUUCCCUUCGAGCGAUACAUUCUUGCCACCGCAGAAGCAUUCUCCACACAACCCUUGGAAUCUCUACUAAUCCAAUCUACAGCUCUGAAUCCUCUGACAUCUGGCUUGUAACCAUCAAAUUGAGUUCCAAAUCAUAAAUAACAGAGCAUUCCCAUUAAAUUCCAAUGCAUUUCAACCUAUUAACAUUGUUUAAGGGUAAUAGGACAACCAACAAUUAGACACAAAAUUAUUGAUCUUAACAAGUUUUCUGGUAGUAAAUUUCUUAAUGACCAACAAGGUUUUAGAGUAUCACCCUUGCACACAAAUCUCAUUAGGAUGUUCCACAUAUUCUGAAACAUGAUUGCAUUCUUUUCCAAUUAAACCAAUCAACAGCAACCAUGAUAUUGAAGAAAAAAAUAUAUAUUUGAUUUUAUCCCAAAUAUCAACAUUAAGCAGCAAGAAAGAAUAUAUAUAUAUAUAUAUAUAUAUGAUCAGUAUCUUGGAGAUUAAAAUAACAAGCAACACAAUUUGUGGGAAUAUGUCAACCUCUAGAACUAAGGAAGCAUCUAGCAUGAAUACUUUAAGAAUAAGAAGCCGACUCCAGAUAAGCAUAUCAACUUUAGAAUGAGGCUUCCAGUUCCAUACAGUUGAGUGGAGAGGGAAUUCAUCUUAUCAGAGAAACUCCAAUAGACCUCCUGAUUUUCAGAGGCAAGUCAUCAAUCCUGUUCUCAAAAGUUCUUGGCUUUCAUGGAGAUGCCUAAGAGAAACACAGUGGAUUCAAAUGCUUUCUAAAACAAGCAGUGGGUUGGGCUUGAAUUUAAAGAAGGCAAUCACUUCCUUGAUGUCAGAGAUCUACCCAUGUUCUGACAGGAAAAAAGACAUUCCAGAAAUGGUGAAUUCCUCAAGUAGAUUACUUUGAACUGAAAUGCCUCUUAAUCAAGUAUGAUGUUGGUUUUGUACCUGUUGCUGCAGUUGAUAAGCAAGUUGUUUAAUGUGUAAGGUGCUAGAAAAGAUUCCCUAGAAUACAUUGGAACCGUUGAUGCAGGUUCUGGUGCCUUUUGAAUCACUUCUGCUGGUGCUGCCACAGCUGUUGAAGAUGCUGGAAAAGCCAUAAACUUGAUUUUUGUUUUAGAGAGCAUACAUUUAUAUCCUUCAAACUGAUAAUAUUCUCUUCCCAACAACUUUGAAUCAAAUCUGCAACACAUCCAGGGAGAUGAUCUUCAAGCAGCUUGCAAAUUCAGAUUGCAGGCUCUGUCUCAGCCAUUCUAAGCAGUUAUUUUAAAUAGUAAUUUUUAGGUAAUCAAUAAUAAUAAUUUUUAGCAAAUUGUAAUUAUGACAAAUGCUGCUUAGCUAUUCUAGAAAAUUACUAUCCAUGCCAUUGUGGCAUGGCACUUGUUUCUAUUUAGGUUUAUAUGAGUAUUUCCUAUGUUGCAAUUUCUAGCAUUUUUCUGAUUUUGAGAAUUGAGUCUUUGGUUACUCUAUCGGGUAGAAUUGUUCUUAAAGGUCUUUAACUUGCCUUGGAAGUUUGGUAAGUUGUAUAAAUAAGGUCCAUGCCACCAAAAUAACAAAAAAAUUUCAAACAAAUAAAAUUGAGUUUGACUUGAGCUAGUCUUAAAAUCCAAGAGCUUGUUUUGGAAGUGUUUUUAAAAACAAUUUUCUGUUCUUAAUAACAAAAAACUAUUUUACAGACUAGAAAAUUUUCUAAACUUGAAAACACAUUUUGACAUUAUUUUUUAUUUUCUUUUUACAAAAUAAAGUUUUUUGAAAACUUGUUCUAAAAACAAGUAUUUUUUUAAAACAUAAUUUAGUUAUUUUCAAUUGUUUUCACUUGUUUUCUGAAGAAUUUCUGAAUUCCUUUUAUUGAUUUUUUAGGUACACACCAUACACAUAUAUAUACACAAAUGACUGAAUAAGAAAAUAUCAAUCUAGCUUGAUUCUCUCCUAAAAUUAGGAAACUGAAUCAUCCUAAAUGAUCUCUCCUUUUUUAUUCCUAAAAUACUUUCCUAAAUUAAAAUCCUAACUUUGAAUGCCAAAUUUCAACACUCCCCCUCAAGCUGGAGAAUAUAUAUAUCAUAUAAUCUCAACUUGCAAGUUAAGUCUUCGAAGUUAGGCCUAGGUAAAGCUUUGGUGAGGAUGUCUGCGGUUUGGUGCUUGGUAGGAACAUAGUUCAAUUUAACGGUCUCACUAGUCACCUUCUCUGUGAUGAAGUGUCUGUCAAUCUCAACAUGCUUGGUCCUGUCAUGAUGCACGGGGUUCUUUGCUAUGCUUAUAGCUGCCUGAUUAUCACACAUCAUCAGAAUUGGAGAUGAACUCGUUUGUCCCAGUUCACUAAGAACCCUUUUUAUCCAAAUCCCUUCACAGAUUCCCUGUGCAAGAGCUCUGUACUCAGCUUCUGCACUACUUCUGGCUACAACUGAUUGCUUCUUACUCCUCCAGGUAACAAGAUUUCCCCAAACAAAAGAACAAUAUCCAAAAGUGGACCGCCUGUCAAUGAUGUUUCCUGCCCAAUCCGCAUCUGAGUAUACUUCAGUGUCACGGUUCUCUGUCUUUCUGAAGAAUAGACCUUUCCCUGGUGUCAUUUUUAAAUAUCUAAGAAUCCUGUAGACUGCUUCCAUGUGUUCCUCAGUGGGGCUGUGCAUGAAUUGACUUACAGCACUCACUGCAAAGCCAAUAUCUGGCCGAGUGUGUGAGAAAUAAAUCAAGUGCCCGACAAGCCGCUGAUAUCUCCCCCUGUCUACCGGUGUACUUUCUUUCUCGAUACCAAGUUUCUUCUGGCUAUCCAUAGGAGUAUCAAUUGGUUUGCAUCCAAGCAUACCGGUCUCCUUAAGAAGAUCGAGUAUGUAUUUUCUUUGAGAGACUACAAUUCCCUUCCUUGAUCUAGCCACUUCCAUACCAAGGAAAUAUUUCAAAUUUCCAAGGUCUUUAACUUCAAACUCUUCUGACAAAUACUUCUUCAACUUCUGUAAUUCCUCCAUAUCAUUCCCAGAUAGAAUAAUAUCAUCGACAUAGACUAUCAAUAUGGCCAUUUUCCCGGCAUGAGACUUCUUGACAAAUAGAGUAUGAUCAGCCUGACCUUGUUUGUAGCCUAGCUUCAGGACUGCCUUUGUGAAUCUAUCAAACCAGGCUCGGGGAGAUUAUUUUAGGCCGUACAAGGAUUUUUGGAGUUUGCAAACCUGAUUCUUUGCCAUACCUUCUUCGAAACCAGGUGGUAUUUCCAUGUAGACUUCCUCUUCUAGGUCACCAUUUAGAAACGCAUUUUUUAUGUCCAGUUGUUGCAAGCACCAAUCUUGAUUGACAGCCAAUGAGAGAAGAAUCCUAAUAAUGUUCAGUUUUGCAACAGGAGCAAAAGUCUCCUGAUAGUCUAUCCCAUAGGAUUGUGUAAACCCUCUAGCUACCAAACGAGCCUUGAAUCUCUCGACUAAUCCAUCUGCUUUGUAUUUUAUGGUGAAAAUCCACUUGCACCCCACAGGCCUCUUCCCAACCGACAAAUCUGUGAUAGUCCACGUCCCAUUCUUCUCAAGUGCAUCAAUCUCAUCUUGUACUGCCUUCUUCCAUUCUGAAAUUUUUAAUGCCUCUUGUAUUGUGUUGGGAACCUGAGUAUCAUCAAGAGAAGUAGCAAAUGCUCUGUAAGAUGGUGAUAGCCCUUCAUACGUAACAUAAUUCCCAAUUGGAUGAUCUGUACAUCUCCUAACACCCUUCCUCAAUGCAAUCGGCAGAGUAGAAUCAUCAAUGCUGGGAAUUAACACCUCUCCAGCCCUAUCCUCACCUAUGUUCUCUUCAGGAAGACUUGAAUUGGAGUCAAUAUAUUGGCCACAUGUUGACUGUGAUCCGUGCUCUAAUUCCUGUCUUUUCCUCCUCCUGAUGUAAACUUGUAAGUUCUCAUUAGCAAGUUGUGGGGCUAUAGGUUGAAUAGGCAUGGGAGACUGGAUGGUCACGGGAGAAGGAACAUUUGUGUGCUGGGCUGGCUGGACUAAUGACGGCAUGGGUGUGGACAACUCAGUGGGCGCGAACUGGGAAGGAUUUGGUGACUCUGAGUGACAAGAAGGUACACCCUCAAGAAGAGACUCCCAAACUUGAUGUUCAUUCAUGCUCUCCCCCUGAACAUGAGAUUUGGGAUAGAAGAAGACAUGUUCAAAAAAAGAGACGUCCAUGGUGGUGUAAAAUCUUUUGUUGGUUGGAGAAUAGCAUUUGUACCCUUUUUGGGUUGGAGAAUACCCUAGGAAAAUGCACUUAUUGGCUCGAGGAGCAAAUUUGCUGCGAUUUUGAGGAUACACAUGAACGAAUGCCGUGCAUCCAAAUACUUUGAGUGGUAUAUCAGAAGAGGCUGCACGGGUGUGAGGAAAUUGUUUUAAGAAAAGUUAACGUGGGGAUUGAAAGGUAAGCACUCUGGAUGGCAUACGGUUAAUCAAAUAGGUAGCUGUGAGAAUAGCUUCCCCCCAGAAAUAGUUUGGAACAUUAGAGGAAAACAUAAGGCACCGGGCAACCUCCAAGAGAUGUCUAUUCUUGCGUUCAGCCACCCCAUUUUGUUGUGGGGUGUCAACGCAAGAACUUAUGUGGAUAAUGUCGUGAUUUUGAAGAUAAGUACUGAGACUACUAGUAAAGUAUUCCUUUGCAUUAUCUGACUUGAGGACUUGAAUUUUGGAAUUGAAUUGAUUUUGAACCAUAAGAUUGAAGGUUUGAAAAAUGUGCCCGACCUCUGACUUUUCUUUCAUAAGGAAAACCCAUGUUACCCGUGUAUGAUCAUCAACGAAUGUCACAAACCAUCGAUUGCCAGAAAUAUUUUUUAUCCGGGAGGGACCCCACACAUCACUAUGUACUAGAGAGAAAACAGUCGAAGGUUUGUAUGGGAUUUGAGGAUAUACUGUUCGAGUAUGCUUUGCAAACUGACAAAUUUCACAGUGAUAAGAUGCUGGAUUUUUAUUGAUAAAUAAUUUGGGAAACAAUUUUGCAAGGUAAACAAAGCUAGGAUGACCAAGGCGAUAGUGUAACAUUAUAAUCUCACUAUCUUUAUUGACCUUAGAAUUUGACACAGAAUUGAAAGACUCUAACAUACUCUGAGACUGUACGCAAUUUGCUUGAGAGACUUGGUUUGAGAAUUGGCCACAUGAGAAGAGGUAGAGCCCGGAACACAGUUCAGCACUGCCAAUCAUCUUCCCCGAUUUCAAGUCCUGAAAAACACACGAGUUUGGAUAGAAUUUAGUAACACAUUGGAGAUCACGGGCCAAUUUGCUAAUGGACAAAAGAUUACAAUCCAAGUUUGGAACAUGGAGGACAGAGUCAAGAUAUAAGUCUUUAGUAAGUUUUAUAGAACCUGUCCCGACAAUUUUUGACUUUGAACCAUCAGCAAUAUGGACGGAUGAAUGAACAUUACUUGGCUUGUAAUUUUGAAGAAUGGCAGCAUCUCCUGUCAUGUGAUCAGAAGCACCUGUGUCCACUAUCCACGGCUUCAUUCCUCCUCGAUUAGCAGUGAAGGCUAUCCCAGUAGUACUGCCACUGCCAACUUGACUUAAUAGUUUUUGUAGCAUCUCCAUCUGCUCUUUGUUGAAUGGACUCGACUCGGGAACAGAUGUGCUCUCAGAGUUGGCAGCCACGUGUGCUCUGCCAUCUCUGUCAGACCGUGGCUUUGGUUUCCAAUCAGCCGGUUUGCCAUGAAGCUUCCAGCAAGCCUCCUUAUAAUGGCCUGGUUUCUUAUAAUAAUCACACCAAGGCCUAUCCCGUUUCUAACGAUCUCCACCACUACUAUUAAAUGACCGAGCAGCAAGGGCAGAGGCAUCCAAUGUUGGGGCAGGUUGCUCUUUGGAUCCCAUCAUCACUUUCUUUCUACUUUCUUCACGCCUAACCUCUAAAAAAGCCUCCUGAGACUUGGAAGGGGUUUAAUGCCCAUGAUUCGGCCUCUAACAUCAUCCAAUUCCCUGUUUAGUCUUAGGAAAAACUUGAACAGUCUCUUUUGUUCCACAAUUUUCCUGUAUGUUGUUGUAUCAUCCGAACAUUUCCAUGAGUGAGUCUCGAAUAAGUCAAGUUGCUGCCAAUACCUUGUGAGUGUGUUGUAAUACUGAGUAACUGACUGCUCUCCUUGGCGGAAGUCAUGUAAGGCUGAUUCAACCUGAAAAAGUUCUGAAGUAUUUUCAGAACUUGAGUAAGUUUCUUUGGCUGCAUCCCAGAUGUCCUUUGCAGUCCUAAACAGCAAAAAAAUUUCACCUAUGUCAUUGUUCAUGGAAUUGAUAAGUCAUGACAUGAUCAUGCUGUUUUCAAUCUUCCACUUCCUGAAACCCGGUUCUGUAGUUUCUGGCAUGGCUGCUUCUCCAGUGAGGUACUCAUCCUUUCCUUUACCGCAAAUGAACAGCAACACAGAUUGUGACCACUGUAAAUAGUUAUGGCCACUUAAUUUGUGUCCUGUAAUGAGAAUAGGAGAGGAAUCAUUGCCACCAAGGUUUGGAAUUUCAGAUCUGCCCCCUGAUUCUGGUGACGUGACGCUGGAUACUUGUAAUGAUGCCAUUCCGUAUUUUGUCAUGGACCGGAAAGGUAGAAGAACACUUCCCAAGGCACGUGCAAGGAUUGGAGUUGAGAAAAAAUAGUCGGAGGACGUCGGAAAAACUGAUCAGAGGGCCCGCGGAGGCAAAAGAACCCCAAAAGAGGCACGUGCAGGGCUCGGAUGGCAGAAACAGGUAAGAAGGGUGGCUGGUCGGCGUCAGGCGAGCCUGGAGGAGGAAGCGCGUCGCCGGAAAGUGGCUCACGCGCCGGCGCGUGAGAUGCAGUCGCCGGCCGGAAAAACGCGCGUGGCCGGCGCGUAGAUGGUUUUCUGGCUCCGGUGCUUUGGGAAAAAUUGGAGAUCUCCUCCAGGCGGUCCUUGUGGUGUAGAAAAAACCGUCGCCGGGAAAGUUCGCCGGAAAAGUUCGCCGGAAAAGUUCACCGGAAAAGUUGCCGGCGGUGAAUGUUUUCUGACAACGAUUCGACCGACCGGAAAGCGUUUUCUCCCUUGGCUCUGAGAACAAGGACUGAUGACCGGAAUGAGAGAUGGCCAGAGAGAGAGAUGGUCGGAUUGAGAGAUGGCCAGAGAGAUUUGGCCGAAAUGAAUGAUGGCCUGAAUGAGAGGUGGCCAGAAGGGAUUAGGGUUUCAGAAAACUGGCUCUGAUACCAUGAAGAAUUUCUGAAUUCCUUUUAUUGAUUUUUUAGAUACACACCAUACACAUAUAUAUACACAAAUGACUGAAUAAGAAAAUAUCAAUCUAGCUUGAUUCUCUCCUAAAAUUAGGAAACUGAAUCAUCCUAAAUGAUCUCUCCUUUUUUAUUCCUAAAAUACUUUCCUAAAUUAAAAUCCUAACUUUGAACGCCAAAUUUCAACAAAGGGAUGUUUUAAAAUAUAAUUGUACAAAUAUCGAGAAUGGUUGAAAAUAAAACAUUAUAGAUAAAAAUUAUUUUUGAGAAAUAUUUCAAAAAAAUAGAAAACAAGUUGAGAAUAUUCUAAAUUUCCAAACAUACUUUUUAUUUUAGAAAAUAUCAUAGAACUGGUUUUGAAAACUAUUUUAAAAAGUUGUUCUUUGAUAAUUGUUUUUUUAAAACGUUCCUAAACAAGCCCCAAUCUCUCCCUUUCAAUAAUUCUUCGCUCCACUUGUUCAUUCUCAAGUAAUCUCCAUUCUUCUUCCUCCAUAAAAAAUUUUCUUACUUAUACACACAUAUUUUACGGUCUUUUUGUAAGACAAUCUUAGCCUUAAGGUUUUGAAGGCCAUCCUACAUCAAUUGGCUUCCAGCCAUCAGGUCCUUAAGCUACGUGAUGAGGAAAAAAGUCAAAGAAUUAUGGAAGAAAAGGAAAAAAUAUUUUUAGAAUGGUAGUUUAGUAAUUUUGGUAUGGUUAGCAUGGGUUAUACCGGCAUCCCAUAGUUUAUUUGAUUAUUUUAUUUUAUUAGGAUUGAUUUUAGUAGUUUAUUUAUUUAUUUUGUCAAACUUCUAUUAGUUUUAGCUUCUAAUUUGUUUAGGCAAAAGAAUUGUAUUCCUACUAUGACAUAGUCUUAGGAAAAAAAAUUUAAGAGUUUAUACAAACCUAUGUAGUCUUUCAGAUUUAUAAGUAGCUAUUAGCUUCUUUGAAAGGUGUAGUCUUCUCCAAGUGAAAUUGCUUAGGAACCUUAGGUGUGAAUGAUUUUUUUCUCCUUCUUUUAGUUUUUCCCAAUGCCUCUCAUCUCAUUCUGCAACUCAGAGAAACUUCCUUGGUGCUGGAAAUUUAACAAUCUUGCACCAAACUAGGCAUUAGAUCCUACAAACAGAACUAUAUCAAUUACAAGUGGUUAAAGUUUUGAGGGAAAUUCAGUGGAUCAACAACAUGAUGAUAAAUGUGAUGAUUGCUCCAAUGAAAUUGGAAUUUUGAAGAUUAGAGGCAUAAUCCUAUAUUUCAAACCAUUGUAUGUUGUGGCAAUAAUUCUUAAUGGAGUACAAAGGAAUAAAUAAUUUCUCUCUAUUUUGAAUCUCCAAAUGAGUAGAGUGCAAAUAAAUGCAUACAAGGGCUAACAACGAUAUAUCUAAUUUAGGACACAAUCAUGAAACCUAAUUAUAAGGCAAUUAUCUAGGAAUGAAAUAAAGGAAAGAAAUAAAAUAGAGAACUAUACAAAAUCAAUCACAAUAUUUACAGACAAUCAUUGCUAAUAAGAUCUGGUAAAAUUUAUCAAAUCUUCCAACAAAGUAAAAUGGGGCAAAAAGUCCUAUUAAAUGUCACCAAAGGAAAUAUAAGAAAACUGACAACAAAAUCUGUCUUAAGUUCGAAAACAAUCUAAAACAAAUACUGCUCUACUUGAAUAAAUUGUAUUAGAAGACAAUCUAUACAUCCUAUUUAUACACAAUUAAGGAUCAAAUUCACCUACCACCUGUCAUCCAACAAUCUCUCAUGAAUUAGAAUCUACUAAAGAAAAAAUUAAAGAAACAAAUAUAAUUAAUACAAAAUCAUUUGAUUGACUAGGAUCACAAUCAAAUUCUUAAGAACCUACCAAGACUCCCCCUCAAGCUAGAGAAUAGAUGUUAUCCAUUCCCAACUUGCAUGUAAUUAUUUGAAACUAGUGACUGACGAAUUCUUAAUCAACACAUCUACAAGUUGCCCCUUUGUUUAAAUAUAAGGUGCAUUGAUCAAAACACCAUCAAGUUUUUCUUGAUCUACUUCUACAUGUUUUGUUCGAUCAUCUUGUACUGGAUUGUGAGCAAUAUUGAUUUUUGAUUUGUUGUUACAAUAUAACUUCAUUGUCCCUUCCCACUUCAUUUCUAGAUCAUCAAGGAUAAUAUUUAUCCAUAAUAACUUACAAAUCUCAUAUGCUAUAGCUUUGAACUCUAACUACACUUGAUCAAGCCACCAUGGAUUGCUUCUUACUUCUCCAUGACACUACGUUGCCACCUUAGAGCCUGUACAAUAAUUGGAGGUAGAUCACCGAUCUACCAUUGAUCCUACCCAAUCCGGAUGAAAUUAUGCAUCUGGUCUUAACUCUUCAUUUUUCUUAAAGAAAAUUCCAUUUCUAGAGCAGAUUUUAAGUAAAGUAGAAUAUUGUAUAGCACCUCUAAAUGAACUUUUCUAGUUUAUGAUCUUAUUCAAUAUGGGUGUCAAUAAGCUUACAAUCAAGCAUACUUGUCUACUUAAGAAGAUCCAAUAUAUACUUCUGUUGAGAGAUAAAAAUAUUCUUCCUUGACUAGGCCACUUCAACCCCCAAAAAGUAAUUGAGUCUUCCCAAGUUGUUUAUCUCAAACUCUUUAGCUAGUUUCUUCUCGAGUCUUUCUAUUUCCUCUAAGUCAUCUCUUGUCACAAUUUUUUCAUCAACAUAAAUUAUGACAACAGUAAGUUUACCCAUAUGUGAGCAUUUGAUGAAUGGUGUAUGAUCUUCUUAGCUUUGUCAAAACUCUUUAUUAUUCAUGGCUUUCACAAAUCUUUCAAACCAUGCUCAAGGAGAUUGUUUUAGGCCAUAAAGCACCUUUCUUAGUCUACACAAAAAUUGUUUCUCUUUAAGUCUCCAUUGAAACCCGAUGGUGUUUCCAUAUACACUUUUUCUUCAAAAUCACCAUGCAAAAAUGCAUUCCUAACAUUAAGUUGCUGUAAAGACCAACCAAAUUUAGGUGUCAAGGAUAGUAAUAUAUGAAAGGUAUUCAUCUUUGCUGCUAGAAUAAAGGUUUUUUAGUAGUUCACCCCAUAAGUUUGCAUAUCCCCUGGGCCAUGAGCCUAGCCUUAUAUCUCUCCAAUGUCCCAUCAGCUCUCUACUUAACUGUGAACACUCAUUUACAUCCAACCAGUUUUUUCCCUUCGGUAAUUCAACUAUUUCCCAAGUUUGGUUUUUUUUCAAGAGCUAACAUCUCUUCCAUGGAUUUCCCCCAAUUCUCUUUUCGAAGUGCUUCUUGAACUAUUUGAGAAAUUUCAAUAGGAGUUUGUUAGGUAAGGAAGGCACUGUCAUAGGGAUAGCUUUUCAAAUGAAAUGAAAUGAAAUUGGAAACCAGGGGUUAAGUGCAUUUUCCGAUGGCUUUCCUAAGGGCAAUUGGUAAAUGGAGAUCAAGAACACUUCUCAAUCUUUGUUUUGAACAAAUAGAUCAUGAGUUUCUGGUGAGAGCAACAAAUUUGAAGCAAUAGGAGACAUAACACUAGAAAUAGAUUGGUGGAGUUUGUGUGUUCAUUACUAGGCUUGGAUUCAGACUCUCGAGCUUGUAUUCAAUCAAGUCAUAAUUGUUUCUGCCUAGAAUAAGCAUGCACUGGCAUGACAGCCGCAUUAACUACCCCUUGAUCUGUCUCUUAUGACGAUUCUUGACCAGGUGACAAGGAUGUAGAACCUAUAGGUGAGACCUUUUGUGCAGGUGGCAUAGAUUCAGAAAGUUCAAGCAGAUCAUAAGAGAGAAACUUAUCUUCACCUAAGCCCUCCCCUUGGAGAUAAGUAUUAGGAAAAAAUCAUUAUUUUCAACAAAAAUGACAUCCAUGGUGGUGAAAAAUUUUUCAGCAGAAUGCAAGAUUAUAACAUUUAUAACUCCUUUUAGUUGGAGAGUAUCCCCCACAAAUAUAGUAUCCCACAAAUACACAUUUUAGAGCUCGAGGAUCAAAUUUGCUGCAAUUUAGAGGAUAGAUAUGGACAAAUAACACGCAACCAAAGACUUAGAGAGGAAGUUCACGGGAGUUUUUGAAAGGUGGGAAAAAAUUUUGGGAGUGUCUAAUGAAGCUUUAUUUUCAAGCACUUUUGUGGGUAGUUGGUUAAUCAAAAUAGUGCAAUUAGGACAACUUCUCGUCAAUAUGAUUUAGGCAUAAUUUUAUAAAAAAGUAGGGUCAAGUGAUUUGACUUCUAAUAGAUCCUUGAUUUUUUGUUUAUCCAUUUCAUUUUGUUGGAAUUAAUACAUUAAGACUUAUACAAUCCCUUCUUUUUCGAGAAAGGGAAAUAACAUCUAAGUAAAGUACUCUUUCCUAUUUUUAGAUCUAAUGUUUUUUAUCUUAACUCUAAACUAUGUGAUAACCAUUUUGCGGAAAAGAGGAAACACAAAACUAACAUUUGAUUUGUUUUUAAUGAGGAAUAACCAAUUCACCCUAGUACAAUCAUCAAUAAAGAACACAAACCACUUUGCUCCUGAAAAAACUUGGGAUUUGAGACGAUCCCCAAACAUCAAUAUGAAUUAACAAAAAAGAGAAUAUUGAUUUUGUAUUACUUAAAGGAAACGGAACAUGAUGAUGUUUAGCUAAUUGACAAACCUCACAAUGAAAACUGUUAACAUUCAAUUUAUUGAAUGACAAGGAAACAUUUUUUUAGCAAAGAAAAUGAUGGACACCCUAGAUGAAGAUGAUGCAACCAUAUUUGGGCUUUAUUCAAUGAGAAUUUUUAAAAAAUAAAAAAUAAAAGCGUGACAUAUGAUCACCAUUGCCAAAACUAGAUUCAAGCAGGUACAAACCCAUCUUGUUCCUUAGCAUGUCCAAUCAUCCUCCCCAUGGCUCGGUCUUGGAUCACAUAAUGAGAUGGGAAAAAGGUUAUGGUAUAAUUCAAAUCUUUAGUAGUUUAAUGAAUUGCCAAGAGGUUAGUUGAAAUUUUUGGAACAGGUGACAUGAAUUUUAAUGUGAGAGACAAUGUUAAGGCAACUUUUCCUUGGCACAAAAUGCUGCUAGUGUCUUAUCGGCAACUUUAAUUUUUUUAUCCCCAAAAUAUGGAUUAUUAGAAGUGAAACAGUGUGAAGAAUAAGUCAUAUGAUCAGUAGCACUUAAGUCAAGGACCCAUGUACUUGGAAAAUAGUCCUUUGAAAUACUAAGAACAUGAGAAAUAGGAUACUUACCUGAUUAAGUUAGAGAGCAUGAAGUAAUAGGCUUAUCCAUUAAAGUUAGAAGGCUACGAAGCCUCUCAAUCUCCUCUUUGCUUAAUCUAUCAGCAUCUAAAUCAUUAGAAGCUGAGACUUCUUACUAGGAAUUCUCUUAAGAUCGAGUAAUAUUGGGUUGGCCACUCCGAUGUCCAAAUUGUGCAUAUCAAUUUUCGCUCCCUCUACCAUAUGAUUGCAGCUUUCCAUAGAGUUUCCAGCAGGCCUCCUUGGUUUUUUGCAAUAGAUACAUCAUAAGCCAUCUUUAUUCACUGGUGAUCUGGAUAUUUCACUUCCUUCAUAAUUGUUGUUUGGCAAUGUAGAGUUUGGCUUCAUAGUGGUAAGAGUUGAGCCUUCUGUUGUUAGUGUCAAGCAUAACACUCCUUCCUUCUCCUGCUCUUAUAAUGGAGAAGACUUUAUUUAGUGGAGGUAGAUCUUCCUUUCCAAGGACUUAAACCUUAACUUGAUCGUAUUCCACAUUGAAAUCUCACUAAGAAAUUAAAUAUCCUUUCUCUUUCAACAUAUGUGAGCAUGAUUGCAGCAUCUUCACCGCGCUUCAUCUUAAUCUUAUGACAAUAAUCUAAUUCGAGCCAUAAGGUUUUCAUGAUAUUGUAGUAUUCAAUAACAAAAAAAGUACCUUACUUGGUAGCACCAAUAUUGGAAUUUAUUUCAUAGAUGUGGGCAGCAUCCCUCACUUUAGAGUAUUUUGCCUAAUAGUCUCCCAAAUAUCACUAACCAUCAUCAAGAAUAUGCACAUCCCACUGACCUCUAGUUGCAUUGAAUUCCAUAGCCAUGACAUAAUCAUCAAGUCCUCUUCAUCUGAAACAGUAAACUUUGGAUCGUCUCACUCAAGACAAGUCCAAUUAGAUGACUCAAUUUUCCUUUUCCCUUAAAAAACAUUUGUACAAGUUGAGACCACACCAGGUAAUCGCAGUCAUUGGGUUGAUUCGAUUAUGCAGAUUUUGAUAUUCUACAUAAAGGUUUUUGCUAGUCAGGUUAGGAGCAAAGUUUGAAGACUAGAUGAUUUCUAAUCCAUCAAACAUAUUAGAGCUAAUCAGAAACAAUUUUUGUAAAUUUGACUUAAACCUUAACUUGAUCGUAUUCCACAUUGAAAUCUCACUAAGAAAUUAAAUAUCCUUUCUCUUUCAACAUAUGUGAGCAUGAUUGCAGCAUCUUCACCGCGCUUCAUCUUAAUCUUAUGACAAUAAUCUAAUUCGAGCCAUAAGGUUUUCAUGAUAUUGUAGUAUUCAAUAACAAAAAAAGUACCUUACUUGGUAGCACCAAUAUUGGAAUUUAUUUCAUAGAUGUGGGCAGCAUCCCUCACUUUAGAGUAUUUUGCCUAAUAGUCUCCCAAAUAUCACUAACCAUCAUCAAGAAUAUGCACAUCCCACUGACCUCUAGUUGCAUUGAAUUCCAUAGCCAUGACAUAAUCAUCAAGUCCUCUUCAUCUGAAACAGUAAACUUUGGAUCGUCUCACUCAAGACAAGUCCAAUUAGAUGACUCAAUUUUCCUUUUCCCUUAAAAAACAUUUGUACAAGUUGAGACCACACCAGGUAAUCGCAGUCAUUGGGUUGAUUCGAUUAUGCAGAUUUUGAUAUUCUACAUAAAGGUUUUUGCUAGUCAGGUUAGGAGCAAAGUUUGAAGACUAGAUGAUUUCUAAUCCAUCAAACAUAUUAGAGCUAAUCAGAAACAAUUUUUGUAAAUUUGAGAUAGAAGAAAAUUUAUGAGGCUAUGUGGACUAAAAUUCAAAGGAAGGAGAUGGAGACCAACAAGUUCUACUACUACUAGCAAUGAAGGCCAUACAAGUGUGGUGAAAUUCUCAAUGAUUAAGGCUGAGAAUAGGAAAAACUUAGGGUGCAAAAGAGAGCCCUAGCUCUGAUACCAUGAAACAAAUUCUAUUCUAAUUGAAUUGUAUUAGAAUACAAUCUAUACAUCCUAUUUAUACACAAUUAGGGAUCAGAUUCACCUAUAAUCUCUCUUGUAAAUCACGGAUUAGAUUCACCUACCACUUAUCAUCCUACAAUCUCUCCCAUAAGUAAGAUUCUACCAAAGAAAAAAGAAAAGAAAUAAAUACAACUAAUGCAAAAUCAUUUGAUUGACUAGGAUCAUAAUCAUAUUCACAAUCUGAAAACUCUUUUCUUUUCUCUUUUAUUAUAUUACAACAAAGUAAAAAAAAAAAAUGGUUGUCUUUGGCAAAAAUUUGAUUGACAUUGAGAAAAUCCAUUGGUUUUUAAGGUGUUGGAUGAUAGUACACAUUGGUCAACCGUGUUCUAAACUUUUGUCCUUUUAUUGGAAAAUGGAAUUGAAGCUUAAGAAUGUAAAACAUUGUGUUUAAAACAUUUAGAUCAAUUUUUAUCAAACUAAAGGAUAAUAAUUUAAGCUGAACCAAGAUUUUUUUAGUCUUGUCCGAUCGAUUGGACUUCAAUCACAUCUAUGAUUUUUUCAUUAUUUUCCAAAUGAAUUGCAGUCAUUCGAUGGGUUUUAACCCUAAUACUUUAGCCUUCUUUCCAGAUGAGGAAGGGGGUUGUGAGAGUUAAUGGAACCCUCUUUGAGCUUCAAGCUCCUUACCUAUUUUAAGGGUGUUUGGUUUGAAAGAGAAUUUUAUGGGGUUUAAGUUGAAAAUCAUAUUUGAGUGAGAAAAUUUCUUUCAAAAUGGGUUGAUUUAGUGUAGGUUUCAUCCCUACUUCCAUACUCAUCAUUUUGGGGUAAAACCUAAAUUUCUUUUUGUGUGGAUUCAAGAAGUGGCCGAGAUCAAACUUGGUGUGAACUCCAAGCAUGUUCUAGAAGAAGAAAGUGGGUAGCUGAAGUUUGAAGGUUCUAGGCAAGUGUUAUGGGAGAAGAUUGAAGGUUUAGGCUAUGUAAAUCCUUGUACUCAAUUAAUUUUCUUCAUAGUGGAUGUUUUGAUUGCUUGAGGCCUGUGAUUUUUUAUCUUUUCAGAGGUUUUCCACGUCAAAAUUUUGGUGUCAUUGUUUCUUCAUUCCUAUCUCAUCUUUUGAUUAUUUUUCAUUGGCUUAUUAAUUUUCCAUUGAUUUAUUUUAUUGAGAAAUCGAGGUUAUGAGUUAAAAUUUGAUCAUUUAAGCUUUGAAAGAGAAUGAAAUAUUUUUGUUUUGGUUUUGAUGUUAAUAGACAUGUGAAAAUGUGAAUUUGAGUUGAUGAAAUGUUUUACAUAUCUUGGUUGGGGAAUGUCGACUCAUUUGCAUGUGAAUUGCAUGGACUAUUUUGUUGAGAGAGUAUUGGUGCAUCCAUAUUGCUUGUGUGUUUUGCUUGAUUGUUGAUAGGAUUAAAAAAGAUAGACAAAGCAAUUGAAAAUUCAAGGGAGUGUUUAGCAUUUGUGGGGGGUACUAUAUCAAAUUGUUUUUAAAAAACUUUACAACCCCCGUAACACCAAUCAACCCCCCCCCCCCNNNNNNNNNNNNNNNNNNNNNNNNNNNNNNNNNNNNNNNNNNNNNNNNNNNNNNNNNNNNNNNNNNNNNNNNNNNNNNNNNNNNNNNNNNNNNNNNNNNNUCUUCACAAUGAUAUUGAUUUGCAACAAAUAUUGAUAGUGGGACUCUGAACCAGGGCCUACUAAGGUACUACUAGAUUAGGUUCCAACAACAGUUUUUAUGCUCCAACAUUCCCUUGAUAGUGGGUGUGGGAGGGACAAAAGAUGCAAGGGGAAAAACUUGGGAUGACAGCUUUAGGAACACUAGAUAAUGUAAUCCUUGGUUAGUAAAUCUAGCUUAUAGUAGUUUCCUGAUUCCAUCAUGGCAAACGGAAAUUAAAGCCCAAUUAUUUACAAAAUGAUCCAAUGCCAGAAUGUUUCAAUGUUAUCUUCAUUAAAUCAAGGUGAAAUUUCAAAAUGAUUAUUUCACACAAAAAAUACACACUAGAAGCAAAAUUGUGGAUUCAAGAGAAGUAAAAGAGCAUUACCUCAAAAGUGUGCUUAGUUGAAUUUGGCAAUUAAAACUCAUGAAUAGCGCUAUCUUUUCCCCUUAUGAAUUUCCUACACCACCAGCUCAGUAUGCAUCCAAUCCCAGCUACAAGUAGUUUUACUCAAAUUUCAUGUCAUCAUUGUCAUCAUCUUCAGACCAAAGUGAUUUCAAGUGCUUGUCAAUACCAAGAAGCAACAACACAAUCUCAUCCAUAAAAACAUGAGACAUAUCUCCAGCAACAAAUUCGAAAACCGCACCAUCCACUUCAAUCAAGCUACACCCUGGAACCUUUUUCACCUUUUUUUCUUCCAUUCCCUUCCUUACCUUAGCUACAUCCUCCCAUUGGUUAGCUGAGGCAUACAUAUUUGAAAGAAGGACAUGAACACCUCCAUGGUCAAGACUCCGCUCUGCCAAGCACUCAACUGUUUCUUUACCUAACUCAACGUCGCCAUGAACCCUACAAGCAUUGAGUAAUGCACCCAAUACAUAAGAAUCUGGCUCCAGGGGCAUCUCCCUGACCACCCUCUUAGCAUCCUCUAGCAUCCCAGCUCUGCCCAAAAGAUCUACCAAACAGCCAUAGUGCUGGACGACUGGUUCAAUUCCAUAAAUAUUUGUCAUACUUUUGAAGAUUCUCAAUCCUUCUUCCACCAAUCCAACUCGACUACAAGCACUUAAGAGACAUAUAAAAGUAACUUCAUUUGGACAAACCCCUUCAUUCUGCAUUCUUGUAAACAUCUCAAUAGCUGUGGCACUGUGACCAUGAUUGGCUAAGCCUGAAAUUAAAGAAGUAAAAGCAAAGACGUCCCGAUCUAGCAUUUCAUCAAACACACGACAAGCUGUUUCUACACAGCCGCACUUUGCAUACAUGUCUAUAAGCGCUGUCCCCAAUAUUCUAUCCAAUACCAUACGGUUUCUAUCCACAUAUGCAUGAAUCCACCUUCCCUGAUCCAAUGCCCCAAGAAAAGCACAAGCAGUGAGUGCACCCACUAUUGCCCCAUGAUUAGGCCGAAAUCCAGCAAUCUGCAUAUCAUUGAAAAGCUCUAAAGCCUCCCUAAACAACCCAAUUUGCGCAUACCCAGUGAUCAUCGCACUCCAAGAAACCGCAUUCUUCUCAGGCAUUUCAUCAAACAGUUGCCUCGCCACCACGACCUGCCCAGACUUGGCAUACCCAUUUAUCACAGCAGUCCACGUAACAACGUCUCGGUUCACACUCCCAUCAAACAACCUUCGAGCCGAGUCCAUGCAAUUACAAGACGCGUACAAAUGGAGCAAUCCGUUUUGCACGAAAUCAUAGGCUUCCCAACCCAAUCUGACCGCCUGAGCGUGGAGUAGGAUCCCAAAAGAGAGGUCAGAGAGCUGAGCACAGGCUUGAAGAAGAAAAGAGAAAGUGUAGUUAUUGGGUAAGAAGCCAGUACUAAGCAUGUAUUUGUAAAGAGAGAGCACAGUGGCGGGUUCCUUUUUGUCGGUGAAAGCUCGUAGCAUGGUGUUCCAAAUGAAGGAGGUACGUCGAGGGAGAGAGAGAAAGAGGAGGUAGGCGUGAGAGAUGUCGCCUUGGGCGGAGACGGCGCAGAAUGAGAUGAUUCUGCCUGCUGCGAAGGGGUCGAAGAGGGUGCCGGAAACGGUGAGAUGGGACUGAAUCUGUUUGAUGUGAGCCAUGGUUACGCAUUGGUCUAAGAGGGAGAGAACUCUGCGACUUGAUUUCAAAUAUUUGGAGCCAACAGAAGCCAACAUCUACCUCCGAUUAUCAUCCCAACUUUUCAACUACUUAUUUCCUCCGCUAUGCGUAUUUUUUCGUACACAGCUUCACAAAUAAUUCCUCACCAUUUCUAUACGGUUAUUUGAUUAAUAGUGCCGUUGAAAAUACAAAAUAUAAUUUGUUUUGGACAAAAAUAUCCUUUGAUAAUUUUUUUAACUCUUUCCCAUAUCAAGCAUUUUUUGGAUAAAAAGUUAAAAAAUAAAAAUGUCAAAUGAUGUUACAUAUGUAAUUUUCAAACAUGAUACUUUUUCAAAUAUGGGUAUUUUCUCAUCCUAUUAAUCAAAUAUUUCUUUCAAUAUCUCGAUACAAGGGUGGAAAAAGUUCUACAACUACACUAAGAGAUUUGUAUAAAAGUACAAAAAUUAAAAAUUAAAAUCUAUUAUAAAUGUGUGGAAAUUUUUUUUCUUCAAAUAUUCGUAUAGAUUUUACAAUAAUGAUAAACGUAUUUAUCAUAAUCAUUCUAAUUCUAACAUUAUAAAUGGGGUCAUAGUUACCAAAAAUAAGAUAACUUCAUAAUUCUCAUUUUUCUAAUUUUGUUUUUCUUAUAUUCUUCUCUUUCCUUUUUCUACUUUUUACAACAUGAUGUUCUUGUUAUAAAGAGAAAUGAAUUUAUCCACAAGAGUUCUCCUUGCAUGCUUGAAAUAUUCAAUAAUAUCUAGAAAGGUAUGCAGUGUUACUAUUCACAAAAAAACUAUCAUCUAAUUGGGAAGGACCAUAUAGUUGAUGAAUAUACUCAAUGGGAAAAACAUCCUAUGUCCUUAGCACACAUGUAAUUUGUGAAAAUACUAUGAAUGAAAUGAUUGACAAUUUCCAUUGAAGUUUAAAAUUAACAAGAUUAUGGUAGCCUAGUGUCACAAGAUGCUUCAAAUGACCCUCCCCAUGGCUUAUAUAGGAGGUAAGAAGCUUCUAGAGACCCUUGGAGACAUCCACACUUAGCCACUAAUGGGAAGAGUGUGGAAGGUUCUAGAAAUGCCUAGAGAAGUUCACACAACUCUACACUAUGGUAGAAGGCAUGAGAAGGGUCUAAAGCUUUCUAGAGAAAUCUAGAAGUUUCUUGUAUAUAGGCUUGUACAUAGAAUAGUGUAGGACAUUCUAGAAUAUUCAUGAAUUGUAAGGAACCCUCCAAGGUUCUAGAAAGUUCCAUUGGUGCCUAUAAAUAGGUGAGGGCCUCAUUUGGCCAAGGCACCAAGCAAGUGAGCAUCCAAGUACUUGUAAAGGUUUCCUUGAGUUAGUGAAAGCUUUCAUUCUUUCAAGAGUUGCCUACCAAGCUUCUUAAGCUUUUGAGUCGCGAGUAUCUUAGCCGAGCAAGCUAAGCAUUGGGGAGCAAGGCUGACUUAGCAAGAUCAAGCGUCUUGGCUUGUCUAAGUGCCACACGAGCUUAGUGAACGACUAAGUCCGUGACACUAAGCUCAACACCUUCGAACGUCUCCUUUCAAAUGGCCCCUUAUAGUGGCCUAAAUUUGCCCAAAUGAUCAUAGUCCCCAAGUGGAGUAACUUCCAUGGACAACUCUCUUCGAGUGGUCCCUAAUGGCCUAAAUACCUUUAAGGUAUUUGUGAGCACCUCCCUAAGAUGAUUCCUUUGAAUGGCCUUUAGGGGCCUAAAAUCCCUUAAAGGCUCACCCAAGGGAUCAUAGUCACCUAGGCUAAGCACCUUCUUAGGAUGAAUCCCUUCAAAUUGCCCUUAAUAACCUAAAGCAUUACGGAAUAAAAACUGUCAAACACUAAUUUAUCAUAAUAAGACGAUUCAAAAACAACCAAAAGGUGAUAUCAUUAAUAAAGGGGGAAGGAAAAAAAAGUGCACUGACAUUAUCCUCUAUCAAAACUAAGAAAAUAAAGGCUAAACUUAAAUGAGAAAAACACCCAAGAGGGGGGUGAAUUGGGGUUUUCAAAAUCUUUUUCAACACAACAAAUUGAAGCACAAUAGAAGCAAAAAUAAAGAGGUAGAGUUAGAAAAAGCAAACUCAGAUUUUAUAGUGAUUCGGCAUUUCCUUGCCUACGUUCACUCUCCUCAAUCUCCUAACCGAGUGAAAGUUCUACUAACUUGAAGCUUCAAUCGAGCUUCCAAUCUCCUUUACACUUGGAUUCCAACUCCAAUGAGCUCUUACACAAUCUCUUCAAGAUUCAACUCUCUUGAAGGCUUUAACACUCAAAUUUUACAAGAAUGAAUCUCUCAACCUAGCUUAAUGAUAGCUCAAAUACAAAUCAAAGUUAGGAUGAAACACAAAGGUGCACUAAAGGAUAUGCAAGUGUAGAUUUAAUGCACCAAGAAAAAAAUGAAAGUUUUUAAGGCAAGAACAAGUGGGUAGACAAUUGAAUGUAAGUGUUCUCUAUGUCAUAAAUGAAGUGGAGUUCUCAAUUUAUAGGUUUCUAACCUUGGGAGCCAAGAAAAAUAAAAAGUAGCCUCAACCGGUCGAGUUGGGGGUUGACCGGUUCACUAGGCGUUGAGGGUGCUUCAACCGAACCUCCUUGGAUGAGAGACUGUGUUUUUAACACUCCUCGACCGAACCUUGACCGGGCAAGGGCAAUCGGUCGACCGGUUCUCUGGCCGAUUGAGUCGGUUGGCCAAUGCCUCGACCGAUUUAACCUUUUGGCCCCGAAAACCUAUCAUUUUCAGUUUUUUUUUUUUUUAAAUACUUAGGCAAGGUCUUUAGGUAAAUUAAUAUAUCAAUUUUGAAACAUUUUGCCUAAGGUACAUUUGAUAAAACUUGGGUUUUAAUGAAAUUGUAACUUUAAAGAAUAAAUUGAGUUUUCAAAGAUGCAUGAAAUGAUAUGUAAAACCUAAGAGCACCCAUGCAUUCAUCUUACAUUUGUUUCCUAUGAUUAAAAGUCUUCCAAAUGUCUCGAUCUUGUAUCAAUUAGAUCAUUUGACGAAUUUCCAAAUUAAUACCCGAGGUUCUUUACAAUUCAAACCAAUUAGUAACUUAAUCAUGAUUUGUUAUCAUCAAAACCUGAUUAAGAGAACUCUUGGGCUAACAAAAACAAAUAUAAUUAAAAGCAAAAAACAUUCAUUCCUUUUUCUAACUAUCACUCUUCUCCCAAUUACGUUCUUAGUCAGCCUUCUCAAGCUCUUUCACCUCUUUGAUCUCCUCGACCUCUUCUACCUCCUCAUGACCCAAUUGUCUCCUUGAUUCAAAAGUAGAGUGACUUACAAUGUAAAAGAUAGAAUGAUGGAAACUAAGUAUCAAGGAUGAUAAAGGUAAUAUUGAGAGGUUGAUAAUUUCUACAUUAUUAGAUUAUAGAUGCUAGUUUAUAGGAAGUCUACAUAUAAUGGAUGGUUAGCCAUAGACUUGAGAAAUUAAUUAAAUUGGAUUUAAUCAAUUUAUUUAUCAAUAUAAAUUUCAUAGGAUACUAAAAUGUAAUUAAUUCUUUAUAUUGAGAUGUUGAGUCAACUUCAGAAUUGAAUAUUGAUGAAAGUAGUAUUUUUCUAUGAGUUUUAAUGGUCUCCUUUUUUAGCUUGCAUUCCUUGGUGAGACGUUAUUUUAGGGAUUUAUGAGUUUCUUAUUUAUAAGUGUGCAUAAGUAUAUUUUGGUAAAAAGGUAAGGUUGCAUAAAGAACUUAUGAAUUAUAUUUUUAGAUUUGAUUAUUUAAUUAAUUGAAAUCCAGUAUGACUAAUUAAUUAAUUAAUUAAUACCCAAUGGAUUAGAUUAAGUGAUCUAAACCUAAUAUUGGUUUAAGUCACUUAAGUCCACAAAGAAGUUUAUAUAAAGUCCCUUUAGGGUUCAAUGUUAGAGUCUUUUAUCCAUUGUCUCCCAAAGAGAAAACCCUAGCCUCCAUCAUUGCAAAGAGAGAAGUCCACCAUUUUCUAUUACUACACUUCAGUAGAAAGCCUCAUGUGGAAGAUCCCUAGAUUUCAAUAUCCACUUUACCAAUUGAAUUUAAUUUGGAAACAUCCAGAUCAAUGGUGAAGUUUUUAAAACCCCUAGAUCUAAUGUUUUAAUGCAUAUAUAUAUAUAUAUAUAUAUGCUUUUGUUGCUAUUAUAUCUAAGAUGAUAGAUGCAUGCACAACCUUCAAUCCAAGGUUUGAAAUGUAGUUUUUCCAAAUAUUCUAACAUUCACUGAUAGAAGGGGCCCUCCUUUAGGGAUAUGUGAGGAUCAAGCCUUGGGAACAACAAUGGGUCACAUAGUCAUCAAGAGGGUGAGUAGGAACAACAAUCCUUCUUCUAAGAUUAACUGAUGUGAUUACUAGAUGACCUUCCUCAUCAUCAAAGAUGAGGUCGUUCUUCCCUUCUAACAUUUGAUCAAUGACUUGAUCAGUUAGAAUAUUUAGGUUGGAAUAAGCAUUCAUGCUCAAGAUGAAAUGACAAUAAUAAGUCAAAGUAGUCGAUCCUUACAUCACAAUUCUAAGAUGAACAAUCACAGGGUUACAACUACGAGAAUCCCUUUCUAAAGAGGGAAGGAUUUGGUGAAAGCGGUCACAAGUGGAUGUAUCAAUAUAGUAAAAUUUAUUUUGAUCUGGCAUACAUUGUAUAAAUAAAAAAACAUAUUAGAGACUAUUUGUAAUGCAAAAUAUGAAAAAUAAAAGAAUACACAUAUAAAGACAUUAUUUUUUUUCUUAGCUUCUAAUCCCCAUAAUAAUAAUAUGUGUGUGUAUAUAUAUGUAUAUAUAUAUAUAUAUAUAUCUUUUUAUUUAAUUCUGAGAUGGAAUUUGUAUAUUGAUUUCAAAAGCGAAGUAAAGGGUAUAUACUCUCUUAUGCCUAGAAGUGGAGAUUCAUCGUGAGUGAAGCGAUGGAGCAGCAGAGAGACACGGUUCUUGUAGCCUCUCAAAACCCUAACCCCGUCUCUUUCACUAAGAAAUCGUCAUCUUCUUCAGGGCCGAAACGCUUCGUGAAGAACCAGAUUCCUGACUCCAUCAUCAACAAUGCUGCUCUCAACGCCGCCAUUGCUCUUCUCCCUUCCAACUACAACUUCGAGGUCCACAAGUGCGUGUGGCGAAUCCUCUCCUCACGCGCCAAGCGUGUCGCCCUCCAGUUUCCCGAAGGUCUCCUCAUGUACUCCCUCCACCUCUCUGACAUCUUCACCUCCUACGCCGGCGCCGACCACUGCCUCGUCCUCGGUGACGUCACCUACGGUGCCUGUUGCGUCGACGACCUCUCCGCCGCCGCCCUGGAGGCUGACCUCCUCAUUC
rnacentral:lncRNA from 1 species